UAAAUGCAUUGACGCUACCCAAGAGGGAAGCAGGUCUUUCAAGUUCAAAGAUUUCUAACUGAACUAAUAAAAGAAAACAUGGGGACUUCAUAGUGGAAUGAAGCGUGCGGGGCUUGUUGAUGCGAGCUUGUGUUUAAAAGAGCUAACGAAGUAUCUGGAUGCAUAGUAAUGUUCAUUUCCAUUUUAACAGCAUGGCUAGGUCCCUUCCUUUCCAUCAAACAGGACCCAGCCAGGAGGAUGAGAUUUCCAACUAUAACUGACACUGGUUCACAUCCUUCUAGAGCAGCUGUGAGGAAGCAUUAGAUGAGAUGAAGUUUCAAAGGCAAACCUAACUGGCUCCCUCUUGUGUGUGCUCAGUACACAAUGCAGCUUACAAGCCAGAAUGCUGACACCUGUGUCUUGCUUCCUGAAUAUCAUAACAGAUCAUGAAAUUGGACUUGAGAAUCCCCAUGGAUCAGUCUGAUGUCAGCAUAGGGUUGCUUCCUGCAUCACACAAUUUCAGCUUGGAAAGUCUGGUUGAUUUCCCAAUCAGCUAUAUAAGGAUAAAGGAGCAGAUUACCAUUGCCUCGGCUACUCAACAUAUUCAGCCAAUCAGGCUCUUUGUAAACCAAAGACAAAGAAUGCAUAUGAUCAAAACACAUUGGAACUCUUUUUUAAAAAAUGCUCGUUAUUCCUGUGCCUAUCAUUUGAACAUUUCUAGUCUCAAAAUACUUACACAUCAGAUAGAAAGCUAAAAUUUGAUACAUACACAAGUCCAAGACACUGGUUACUAGAAACAUCUGAAAUGGGUUAUUUUUAUCUUUCUCUCCUGAAACCUGGUAGAAAAAGGCUGCCUCAUGACAAUCUCACACAAGCCCUCUACAGGCCCUCUACAGAGAAGCCCACUAUAAGAAUGAAAAGCAGGUAAAGGGAAUCAGGACUGCUCCCAGCACAUCUCAGGCACAUCAGUCAUCUUGCCGCCAGCAAUUGACACGCUUGGGGUGUUCGUCUGAAGAGGCAAAUGCCUCAAGUGUGAUUGCUGCUAUUUCUGUGAUCAUCAUCUGGUGAUCAUGCCCCAGCCUGCUGAUCACGGAAAUGAUAGCAAUCAUGCAAAUGAGGCAGAAACUCAGGUUUGCGCUGGUCAAGAAAUGGUUAAUAGGGUCUAUAAGCUGCCUUGCUGUUAAUUGCUAGUUGUCAAAGUCAUAAAUCUCACUAGUCUGGCUGGGAUGCCAGCGAGAGGCCCCUCUCUAAUAUCUCCAGCUAGCCAAGCGUGUAAACUAACAUUUUCAAGGGCACAUCUGGAGAAGGAGUAGAUAGUCGCUUAUCAAUAGGUAGAAGAAAAGGCUCAAUUAUAAUAGAAGAAUGUUGUCUAACUAGCAAUGAUUAUAAUAAUUGUAAUAUGACGGUUAAGUGAUGCUGACCAAUGAGGAGUGUAUCUACUGAAUGUAAUUGAGUUGUAUAUAAGAACUGAAACUGGAAUGUAAUCUUUAUCUCAGGUUGGGAGCGAUUCCACUGAGAUCAAAUUGCCUGGCAAUAAAUCUGUUUUUUCCUCAA